rnacentral:lncRNA from 1 species
CCGCUUCCAGGCGCUUCCGCUUCCAGGCGCUUCCGCUUCCAGGCGCGCGGUGCUAGUACCGGCCCCCGGGCUGGGAACACCUCCAGGCCAGCGCUUUAGCAUCAUCCGAGGCUCUCCGCUUCCUCAGGGGGACCCGAGUUCUUCCACGCGACUCGUAGGCCCCGCCAUCCUCGCUGGGCUCUCCCUGCAACCCUUGCCGCCAUCCUUCGGGCUGGCCGAUGUCCCUGCCUUGUCUGUGGCUCGUUCCCAGCUGCGUGGCCUCUGCAUCCUGCAAGAAGCCUGGGCCUGGCUGUCCUCACAGUGCGGCCGCUGCAGGCUCACACGGUUCUCUCCUCUACAGGCUCCUCUGAGAGGCGAUGCCUGGGAGUGUAAACCAUGCGAGUGUUCCUCUGCGGUUCCCCAAUUCCUAGCCCGACGCCUUGCACAGAGCGGGUCAUUCAAUGCAUGAAUGAAGAAAAGAGGAACCAAGGGGGGAAUUACGGAUGGAAAGCCAGUACUUGCUAUGGACCCCAGAGUGGAGAUUCUCUACAGAAUGACUAUUUGUGAGAAGGAUCUGAGCGGCCACUUCCAGUGAGAAAGAGCAUUUUGGAGAGAAGAGUAGCAUCUCUACAUACCUCCGAUGAGAAGCAUAAUUGCCGGUGAU